GUAGGUCAGUUUUACUUGGGGAAAAAUUGGUAAAAUGAAUCCUGAAUGUUUUGAACAGCAAAAAUAUCAGUUUAAAAAAUGGUUAAAUCUUAACAACAAGUCAAACAGCUCUGUUUUAUCAGAAUGUGAAUAUACUUCCAUUAUCGAAUAUUUGAAAGAUAAAAAUGAUGGAAAAAUUGGAUAUAUUACUUCACGGAAUAUUCAACAAAGAAUCAAGUCAAACAAGUUUAAACUAAUUGAUUACCCACCCUUAGGUUUAAAAGAUAUUUUAUGUGCUCCAACUAAAUGUAAUACAGAGAAUAAUUUGCGAGAAUCAUCGCCAUUUGGAAACUACAGUCGUGUAGCGAGUACUAAAGAUGUUUUUUCUGCUAUUAAUAUUGCACAUUGCCAGAAUGGUCUGCAUCUUGGGGCUUUAAAAACUUAUAAGAAGAUUAUUGAGGGUUAUGCAAACAUUGCAAGAAAAACUGUUGAAAUUUUUAUCAGUUUCUGCCCAACUUGCAAUUUAAAUAAAUGGCAGUUAAAAAAAGCACUAUUACAACCAAUAAUUUCUACUGGUUUUUUGCAACGUCUUUAAAUUGAUUUGAUUGCAAUGGAAUCUAAGCCAGAUAAGAAAUUCAGAUAUAUUGGUCAUGUUGUUGAUCAUUUCAGUAAGUUUCAUAUUUUGUUUCCUAUGAGAAAUAGAAUAGCUUUAGAAACAGCAAAUAAUCUUAAAAGGUUUGUGCUGAGUUACUUUGGUUUACCAGCAAUUUUGCAUAGUGACAACGGUAGUGAAUUUGUAAAUGAUGUUAUAAAAUCACUUUUGUUAACAUGGCCUGGGAAAACCCAAAUUGUAAAUGGUUCACCAAGACACUCUCAAAGUUAAGGUUUAGUUGAACAGGGCAACUUUACCAUAGAGCGAUUAAUAUCUUCUCGUGAAUAUGAUUCUGGUCAAAGUAACAGGUCAGAAUGGUUGGUUGAAAUUCAAUAUGUUAUGAAUACUACAUAUGUAAGGAGCAUAAAAACGACACCUUAUGAGAUUGUGUUUGGCCAAAAACCAAAUGGACAAUUCCCUUUAGAGGGUAAAGUAGUAAAUGAAGGUGAUGUUGCAAACAUAAUUAAGAAUCCUAAUAAAGGUAAAUUUAAAGAUGAGUUAAAUGUCAAUCCUAUUUCAGUGAGGUAAAUGUCAAUCCUAUUAAAAAAUCAUUUUUUGCAAUAUAGCAGGAUGAACAUAAAUUUCUUUUUUUUUUAUCUUUUUUUGUCAUUUGUGUCACAAAAUUGUUGAUUUUAUAAUAAAAAACCUGGAUUACUUUCUUCAUUUUUAUUCAUUAAUCAAAUAAGUUAUUUGAAAUUCCAUUUUGUGUGUGUGUGCAAGUUUCUUUUAUAAAAUAUUGGAUGGUUUAUUCAUUUUGACUAUAAAUAUCUGAAAUUUUUGUUAUUGACUAGAUGUUGCUGAUGGUAGGACAACUGACACUCCAGAAUGCAGCAGAACUUACAAAAGCAUUGCAAAAGCGAAAUGUGAUGGAGGUAGUAACACUGCAGAAUGCAGUGGAACUUCAAGUGAUAUUGAAGUGAUAACACUUUCACUGACAGAGAAGACUGUGGUAUUGUUGACUUUUCGUACCACCAUGAGUCUGAAGAAGAUACUAAAGAUAGGAUGAAGAUAACUUGUCUAAUUCGCAAGAACCUUUGCCAUGAAACAGCAAGUAAUCUUGAAAAAAAUGCAAAAUUCAUGGUUAAAAAGUAUAAUAAACAAAAAAAAUUUAAAGUUGCAGUUUUCAAAGAAGGUGAUCAUGUCAGUGUGGCUAUACCAAAAUCAUUGCGUAACUCUACAGAUAUGCUGCGUUUGCCAUGUGUUGUUCUUCAUAAGUCGUUUGGGGAAAAUCCAACCUAUAAGUUGGUGACAUCACAUGGAGUUCUUGAAAAAAGAUUUAAUGCCACUAACUUAAUGCCAUACAGCAGUAUUGUCAAAGUUAAAAGUGAUGCCAAUGUUAGCUUAAGUGAGGCCGUCUUAAAUGAAAUCACUAGUAAAGUAGUCUUUUGUCGAUGUAAAAAAGCCAAACCAAGCACUGUCGAUGCUUUGAAAAUGGAACACCAUGUGUCUCAUGAUGUCAUAAAGGAAAAACAAAAAAUUGCAAAAACAACAACCCCCAUUUUUCUGUACAGAGUGAAAGGAAUGAUGAUAGUUUAACUGAAUCAGUAGAUACUCAAAUGGCAAUAAUUUCCACAAUCAAUGAGCCAAAGUUAUUAGAGUUUAAUCGCAACAAUAUAAAUGAAGGCGAAGAUUCAGGCAAUUCCCAAGAUGUAGUGGCAUUUAAAAGAGAUGAAGUUUCAAAUGUGCAAAUUUCAAAUACGACGGAAUUGUCCAUUACAUUUGAAGAAAAAGACAUAUUUCUGGACCACUUUAAAAAAAUGCUUCAAAAUGGUGAUAUUACUCAUUAUCUAGCUUCAGACGAUGCCAUCGAAGACGCGUGAGGUUUUCCAUUUGCAUAUGGUGACAUUACACGUCAAGAUAAGAUGAUAGAUAUCCACAUUGAUGUCGGCGAUGAGUUGGUUUCGUUAAUAAUUAGUGUUUAUAAGCAUUUGAAGUUAAAUACAGUAAUUGCCCUUCAACAAUAUGCUGCAAGAAAAUACAAUUUAAACAAAAUGGUUUAAUGUGAUAAACUUUCAAUUAAACAAUUUAAUAUUGCUUUAACUUGAUGAUUGCUCAAGUUUAUAAAAGUUUUUUAAUCUGCAUUCUUUUGAAUUUUACUAAACUUGUUAAAAUGUUAUCUGUUUUCACAUAAUAUUAUGUUUCCAAAUGAAUACUUUAA